rnacentral:rRNA from 1 species
GCAUAUCAAUAAGCGGAGGAAAAGAAACCAACAGGGAUUGCCCUAGUAACGGCGAGUGAAGCGGCAACAGCUCAAAUUUGAAAUCUGGCGUCUUUGGCGUCCGAGUUGUAAUUUGCAGAGGGCGCUUUGGCAUUGGCAGCGGUCCAAGUUCCUUGGAACAGGACGUCACAGAGGGUGAGAAUCCCGUACGUGGUCGCUAGCCUUUACCGUGUAAAGCCCCUUCGACGAGUCGAGUUGUUUGGGAAUGCAGCUCUAAAUGGGAGGUAAAUUUCUUCUAAAGCUAAAUACUGGCCAGAGACCGAUAGCGCACAAGUAGAGUGAUCGAAAGAUGAAAAGCACUUUGGAAAGAGAGUUAAAAAGCACGUGAAAUUGUUGAAAGGGAAGCGCUUGCAGCCAGACUUGCCUGUAGUUGCUCAUCCGGGUUUUUACCCGGUGCACUCUUCUAUAGGCAGGCCAGCAUCAGUUUGGGCGGUUGGAUAAAGGUCUCUGUCAUGUACCUCUCUUCGGGGAGAACUUAUAGGGGAGACGACAUGCAACCAGCCUGGACUGAGGUCCGCGCAUCUGCUAGGAUGCUGGCGUAAUGGCUGUAAGCGGCCCGUCUUGAAACACGGACCAAGGAGUCUAACAUCUAUGCGAGUGUUUGGGUGUCAAGCCCGAGCGCGUAAUGAAAGUGAACGGAGGUGGGAACCUUUCGGGGUGCACCAUCGACCGAUCCUGAUGUCUUCGGAUGGAUUUGAGUAAGAGCAUAGCUGUUGGGACCCGAAAGAUGGUGAACUAUGCUUGAAUAGGGUGAAGCCAGAGGAAACUCUGGUGGAGGCUCGCAGCGGUUCUGACGUGCAAAUCGAUCGUCAAAUUUGGGCAUAGGGGCGAAAGACUAAUCGAACUAUCUAGUAGCUGGUUCCUGCCGAAGU